CCCCAGCCCCGGGACUCGCGCACACCCUCCCCGCCCUGCCGCCGCCUCCCUCUCUCUCUGCCUCCCGGCCACCCCUGGCCAUUCUGGGGCUUGUUGCCUGGGCAAGAGUUUCCGCGCGCCCGGCACCCCCGCCCACCCCCGGGUCAUUUACCGAUGUGGUUGUCCUCGAUGUGCUCGAUGAGGUCUGCCAGGGUGGGGAAGUGGAGUCCGCAGCCCCCGAAUCGGCAGAAGUCCUGCAGCAGAGGAAUCCUCCUUGGACACGCUAUGCAAUGUCUCAUCCAUGUUAACCACAAUCAAAUUUGCAUCUUAUCUUUCUUAUUCUAUACCCUGAUCCAAAAGACCCAUCAGAGGAAAAGGAUUCUAUGAAAGUUCAUCAAUAGGAAAAUCUACAUCCUGAUGCAUAAGAGAGCUUAGGUCUUCAGCACUGCAGGCAGAUGGAAUCUUGCUGCCCCGACAGUUGAUUCAGGAGGUGGGCCCAUGGCCAGAGUGUCAAUCAGAGGGAAGCUCAGAGCUUAUCUGGACAGAGGACUGCUGCCUUCUCACUUGAACAAGGAAGCACAUGGCCCAGCUGAUGCUGACAGACAUCUUUAGACCCUGAGGACUUCUGUCCAAUGACGACGCUGACUUGGCAAAGUGCAGAGUUGAGACAUGUCAGAGACACUGAACUGGAGCUCUGAUAGAACCCACCACGAGCCAAUGACUCAUCUUGAUUGUCUAAGCCAGUUUGUGUUGGGCUUUAGAAUAGUAGAUAUUGCUGGUGAAGUCAUCUUAAAUGGUAUAGACUUGGCAGGUUUCUGGAGAAACAGUGGGAAGUUUUCCUUAGUAUUCAAGGAGCUUAUUGAGAGGAAUCUGCCCAAGUCUCCUGACCUUUCCCACCAUGAUUCACAGCUGAUGGAGAAGACUGCAGGAGGGAGUGUCUAUAAGGCUUGCAUUAUCAUAGGAGGAGAAAGGCUGACUGGGUCCUGGUGUAAGGGUGGGGAUAAAGCUGUGUCACUAAGUUGGCGGACAAGAGUAUGGUCUGUGAAGAUGCUUGUGUUCGGUUUGAGUAGAUGCUGCCAAACCAUUCUCUCAAGUCAGGGUACCAAGUUACAGGCCUGAGAGUUCCUGGAGCCUUGUAUCUUACUUUGGCCCAGGGCUGAUAAGCAAGGGGUUCUAGCUUUAUCAGAGUGUAGCAGUUCACAAACAGUAGCGGAAAAGUUGCUGCUAAAGUAACACACACGCACACGUGCAUAUACACACAACACAGAUACGCGUACGCACACAAGCAUAAGGAUUCAGGUGGCAUUUUGUUAUGAUUUGGCUGUGAGGUGUCCCCAAAAGCUCUUCUUAAUGCUGGAAUAUUCAAAGGUAAAAUGAUCACACUGUAAGAGCUGUAGCUUAAUCAGUCCCUCCUAGUUCGAAUGGGGUGUCUGAUAACUGUAGGCAGGUGGGGUGUGCCUGGAGGAAGAGGGUCACUGGGGGUGUUCCCUGGAAGGGUGCUUCUUCCCUGUGACCCCCUUCCCCCCUCUCUCUCUGUUUCCACCAUGAGCUGAGCAGCUCUCCUCUGCUGGGCCCUUCUGCUGUGAUGCUCUGCCUCUCCUUGGACCAAGAGCAAAAGAGUCGGCCAUCUAGGGACUGAGACCUCUGAAACCCUGACUUCACCAGCAAUAUCUACUACUCUAAAGCCCAACACAAAUAUCUACUACUCUAAAGCCCAACUCCUCUAAGUUGUUCUUGUUGGGUAUUUUGGUCACCGUGAUACAAAAGCUGAAUGAAACACAUUGCAAUUGGGGCAAUAAUUUAAAAGCAAAUACGUUUAAAGCAUCUGAAUGAGGCUAUUUUAAAGUGCAAGUAUAAACCAAGUACCUGAGUACCUGCUCAGACUCUAAGUUGUCCUCCCUAACCUAGGAAGCAUCUCAGCACCCCAUCAGAAUUUCCCUUUCUGUAUAAAGAUGAGGUGGGGCCUGGGGAUAUAGCCUAGUUGGUAGAGUGCUUGCCUCACAUGCACAAGGCCCUGGGUUCAAACCCCAGCACCACACACAGGCACAAAAUGAUAAGGUGGGAAGCAGGAAGUAAGAGAGUGGGGUGCGUGUGUGUGGGGGAGGGGGAACAGUGAAGGAGGAGAGGGUAAGAAAGGUUAUUUUCUACACAAAUAGCAGCUCAUCUAAAAUAUCCCAAUAUGUUAAAUUAUUCGAUAUAGGUGUUGACGAAACAAACAGUAAGGCAUGGUAUAGUGUUCACUAUUAUUGGUUGAUUUUUUUAUUCAUUGAUAUAUAAAAUAAUGUUUCAGUUUAUCUAAAACAAAAGUGCCUUACAUUGGGCUUAGUUGACCCGCAGCACCAGCUUUGUAUGAAGUAUGAAGAAUUUACUUGAAGGUUCAGGAGAGAGUUGAUACAAACUUAAUUGAUGUAAUAGUCUCCUUUAAAUAUGUAUUUGCUAAAAACCAAAAUGUUAACACUGGGAAGACAAGGUAUGCUCAUUCAAAUAGUACCUAAUAUUCUUUCCUGUUACUUCUCAUGGGUUCCGUCCUUGGAGCAGGGAUUGGCAAUCCGGAGAGCUGGUUUCUGUGUUGAAGGGUGACACCAUUCACUUCCUAUUGUGUCGGCUUGCCCGAGGGGCUGGAUUCUUGGUGUUAUUAGCCGUCAGUGUCCUCUGCCAGCCUCUGGGAGCUAGUGACUGGAGCCCAGGCUUCUGAGUGUCUUCUAUCGCUUCUUCCACUGUCAUGUCUCAGUUGAUCACUUUGAGGAUUUCACAUUCCAUUCAUGGACGUGUGGCAGAGAGACUUCUAGGUGCCUACCCGAUAUCUAUUCACACCUUUCUCCUUAAUAACAGAUCUUAUCAAAAGAAACAGUAUGUUCAAAUUAAACCCAACUUUUGCCAGCCGCCUGUAUGAUCCAGAUUUGAUCAACAAAUUUUAAGUGAAAGUUGUUAAAUGGGGACUCCUGGGAAAGCUUUUUUUAAAACAUGCUGUCUCAACUGCUGGGCACCCUUUUCUACUUGGCCCUUUUGCCUGUCUGUUUCUGGGAGUACUGUGUGAUUGCUGGAGCAGCAGUCGCUAUUUGAUGAACAUUAGAAAGAGGGUCACAAUCUAAGAUGCUGCCCCGGGACUGCUGUAUCAGCCCUGAGCUGCCUGCUUCUAGAAUUCUCAUUCUGUGCAAGCAGAAUAAACUCUUGUUUAUUUAAACUGCUGCCUCUCAGGUUUCUAUUACUCACAGCUGAAUGCAAUUCUGGCAUUCUAAAUAUUCAUUCAGUAUAAUCCUCCAUGUGAUUAGUUCAACAUUUUACAAUUGUCUUUGAAUGGAGGUCUGUGCAACAGAGAUGUGCCCCACACACUCAGGUUCCCUGGCCUGGAGCAUGAACACUCAGCUUAAAAGGUUCUGCCAUGCCCAGCAGAACCAAUUAACCAGAGUGGAAAUGGGCUGGAUGGCAGGGCAGGCCUUCCUACUCCACUGUUGUACUGGGGAGUCCAUAGGAUGGAAUCAGAGGUUGAGGUCUGGGGACAUCUUUCCAGAGCUCUCAGCUUGUUGUCCUCACGGGAAGGAGAGAUCCGUGGCAAUAUGUUGGAACAGACAUGAGGCUUCCUCCUGCAUUUAUACUAGAGCCAUGUAGACCCGCCCAUCAAGUUUAUGAAGACCCAAAGUCUAAAUGUCACCAUCUUCUGGCAGGUGUAAAAUAGACUAUAAUCAGACUGAAAGACCUAAGCAACCUCAUUCUAUUUGGGACCUCAUUUUUCUCUGAAACUUAACCUCUGACCUACUGCAGUCCUAAAGUCAGAAAAAUACCACAGAAAAGCUCUGUGGAAACAGUUCUCGGAAAAGCCGCAGAUGGUGAUCUCCUAAGAUAGGCCAAGAUAUCGAAAUAUCUGAGAUUCCAGAUGGCCUGCACCUAGGUGUGGUGACCAAUAUCUAAACUAGAAGCCCUGCAGCUUGGCACAUACCCCCCUUGCGACAUCCUCACCGUUUAAACCAAUUAUUUUUAAAUGCGUCAACCCCUUGAACUAACCAAUAAUCCUUUCCAGAUUCUUUCCUGCCAUUUGAUAAGCUAAUCAUAUUUUAAAGUUGUUGUUUGAUUUUCCCGCGGUGUGUGAUGAUUUGCUAUGAUGUAUGUGGGGGUCCCUGCCUUCUCCAAAGAGUGUAUAAAACUGCUGCAAACCCUGGGCUCGGGGCCUCUCAGCGUCACCAGUUGCUGUGUGCACGCAGAGGACCGAGCUAGCUCGCAAUAAACAACUCUUUGCUGCUUACA